UGCUCACCUCAGGAGCACUACACUAAAAUUGCAACAAUAUAGAGAAGAUUGGCAUGGCCCCUGCACAAAAUGACACUCAAAUUUAUGAAAUCUUCCAUAUUUAA
ensembl:snRNA Gm25609 U6 spliceosomal RNA